rnacentral:rRNA from 1 species
GACGAACGCUGGCGGCGUGCUUAACACAUGCAAGUCGAACGGGUCUGCCCUGUUUUUUGCGGGGUGGGUCAGUGGCGAACGGGUGAGUAACACGUGAGUAACCUGCCCCUCACUUCUGGAUAACCGCUUGAAAGGGUGGCUAAUACGGGGUGUUCUGGCUGUGCCGCAUGGUGUGGCUGGGAAAGAUUCACUUUUGUGGUGUUUUGGUGGGGGAUGGGCUCGCGGCCUAUCAGCUUGUUGGUGGGGUGAUGGCCUGCCAAGGCUUUGACGGGUAGCCGGCCUGAGAGGGUGGGCGGUCACAGUGGGACUGAGAUGCGGCCCAGACUCCUGCGGGAGGCAGCAGUGGGGGGUAUCGCACAAUGGGCGGAAGCCUGAGGCAGCGACGUCGCGUGAGGGAUGGAGGCCUUCGGGUUGUGAACCUCUUUCGCCGGUGAAGAAGGUCCUGCUCUUUGUGGUGGGGUUGACGGUAGCCGGGUUAUGAAGCGCCGGCUAACUACGUG